AUAAAACAAUAUCCAUCUCUGAUGCAGGACGCCAGAAACCCUGGGGCCUGGAUGUGGGGGUCAUCCUGUAACAAUGAGCACAAAUUCACAGGAAAUGUUCCAGAGGUCGGGUACUUCCUUUUAAGGUGCAGCAGAGAACCAUUUCACAUCGCUUCUGCUCCGUUUCACCGCCGCGUUCAGCCAGGAUCCUGACAAAGGAAAACGCAGCCGCCUCAACCGCUGCUGGAGAUUACAAUGAAGUGGCAUGACGUCAUCAUGAUUAAAGCCAGGGAAAGAAGAGCAGCAAAUCAGGGGGGAUAACACAGAGGAUCUAGCGUCUGCAUCGGUGCUGGUGUCUGAGCGGAGCUACACCAGGGGGGACCGUGCGCGGAGCAUGAGAGAAGGACGGAUGGGUGCUUUGCAACAUGACUGAAUAAUUAGAAUAUGCUCGCCAUGGUAACAACAUGGGCAUGAACUGUGUCAACGCUAAUUUCCAUGACAAGGCUUUGACAGUCCUCUGAA
ensembl:lncRNA